GGGCUCGCGUACCAUUAGCUUGUUGGUAGGGUAAUGGCCUACCAAGGCUACGAUGGUUAGCUGGUCUGAGAAGAUGAUCAGCCACACUGGAACUGAAACACGGUCCAGACUCCUACGGGAGGCAGCAGUGAGGAAUUUUGCGCAAUGGGGGAAACCCUGACGCAGCAACGCCGCGUGAGUGAAGAAGGCCUUCGGGUCGUAAAGCUCUGUCAAGUGGGAAAUGAUGGUACCACUAGAGGAAGCACCGGCUAACUCCGUGCCAGCAGCCGCGGUACUACGGAGGGUGCGAGCGUUGUUCGGAAUUAUUGGGCGUAAAGAGCGUGUAGGCAGCUUGGUAAGUCAGAUGUGAAAGCCCAGGGCUUAACCCUGGAAGUGCAUUUGAAACUGCCUAGCUUGAGUAUGGGAGAGGAGAGUGGAAUUCCCAGUGUAGAGGUGAAAUUCGUAGAU
rnacentral:rRNA from 1 species